ACUCGGGUGGUGGAACUGGUAGACACGCAGGACUUAAAAUCCUGUUUACAGUAAUGUAAGUGUGGGUUCAACUCCCAUCCCGAGUA
rnacentral:tRNA from 1 species